CAGUCGCCGCGGUAAUACGGAGGGGGCUAGCGUUGUUCGGAAUCACUGGGCGUAAAGCGCACGUAGGCGGCUUGGUAAGUUAGAGGUGAAAGCCUGGAGCUCAACUCCAGAAUUGCCUUUAAGACUGCCGAGCUAGCAGGUGAGAGAGGUAAGUGGAAUUCCGAGUGUAGAGGUGAAAUUCGUAGAUAUUCGGAAGAACACCAGUGGCGAAGGCGGCUUACUGGCUCAUACUGGACGCUGAGGUGCGAAAGCGUGGGGAGCAAACAGGAUUAGAUACCCCGGUAGUCCCUGUCUCUUAUAC
rnacentral:rRNA from 1 species